ACAAAUCAUCUGAAAUUAUCAAAAGUCAAAAAAAAGUGUGAUUACGACAUUCGAAUUCUGAAAAAUGCUUACGGUAAAAUGAUGACUAAAGAAUACUCAGACUGUUAACAAUAAAAUGGUUGAAGUCUAUCAAUGACCACAUUGAAGUAGAUGACAUAAUACAUCAUUUUUUCCCUACGUCCUGGCACGUACAGGGUGAUCAAUGAAUAUAGUAGCUAAAAUGACAUUUUCCAAUGAGGAGUUCAAAGUAAACCCACAGAUUCAAUUCAUGACAGAAUGUAUUGAGAAAAAUUUUAUUUCUUUCCUAGUGUUUCCAAAUCAAGAAACUAAGUAUCACUUCUACGUAUUUUGUUACCAGUAAGAAGAACAGUUGUUUCAAUUAGUCUCUUUCAACUUGUAUCUAUAAACUCCAUAAUAUGUAUAUUUCUUAUACGAAA